UACAGAGGUCCCGAGCGUUGUUCGGAUUCACUGGGCGUAAAGGGUGCGUAGGUGGCCUGAAAAGUUUGAUGUGAAAGCUCAGGGCUUAACCCUGAAAUGGCAUUGAAUACUGUUGGGCUGGAGGUUUGGAGGGGGACUGGGAAUUCUUGGUGUAGCAGUGAAAUGCGUAGAUAUCAAGAGGAACACCAGUGGCGAAGGCGAGUCCCUGGACAACACCUGACCACUGAGGCACGAAAGCUAGGGGAGCAAACAGG
rnacentral:rRNA from 1 species